rnacentral:rRNA from 1 species
AAUAGAUACCCAGGUAGUCCACGCCGUAAACGGUGGAUACUAGCUGUUUGGAAGCAAUUCUGAGUGGCUAAGCGAAAGUGAUAAGUAUCCCACCUGGGGAGUACGGGCGCAAGCCUGAAACUCAAAGGAAUUGACGGGGGCCCGCACAAGCGGUGGAGCAUGUGGUUUAAUUCGAUGAUACGCGAGGAACCUUACCAGGGCUUAAAUGUGUUUUGACCGCUUAGGAAACUAGGCUUUCGCAAGACAAAAUACAAGGUGCUGCAUGGUUGUCGUCAGCUCGUGCCGUGAGGUGUCAGGUUAAGUCCUAUAACGAGCGCAACCCCUGUUGUUAGUUGCCUAGCGAGUAGUGUCGGGAACUCUAACAAGACUGCCAGUGUAAACUGUGAGGAAGGUGGGGAUGACGUCAAAUCAUCACGGCCCUUACGUCCUGGGCCACGACACGUGCUACAAUGGACGGUACAGAGAGCAGCUACCACGCGAGUGGAUGCGAAAUCUAUAAAACCGUUCUCAGUUCGGAUCGGAGUCUGCAACUCGACUCCG